UCGGAGCAUUCGAGCUUCGGCUCGACUCUCCCACCCUUUGUGAACGUACCUCUGUUGCUUUGGCGGCUCCGGCCGCCAAAGGACCUUCAAACUCCAGUCAGUAAACGCAGACGUCUGAUAAACAAGUUAAUAAACUAAAACUUUCAACAACGGAUCUCUUGGUUCUGGCAUCGAUGAAGAACGCAGCGAAAUGCGAUAAGUAAUGUGAAUUGCAGAAUUCAGUGAAUCAUCGAAUCUUUGAACGCACAUUGCGCCCCUUGGUAUUCCGGGGGGCAUGCCUGUUCGAGCGUCAUUACAACCCUCAAGCUCUGCUUGGAAUUGGGCACCGUCCUCACUGCGGACGCGCCUCAAAGACCUCGGCGGUGGCUGUUCAGCCCUCAAGCGUAGUAGAAUACACCUCGCUUUGGAGCGGUUGGCGUCGCCCGCCGGACGAACCUUCUGAACUUUUCUCAAGGUUGACCUCGGAUCAGGUAGGGAUACCCGCUGAACUUAAGCAUAUCAAAAGCCGG
rnacentral:rRNA from 2 species